UACGUAGGGCGCAAGCGUUGUCCGGAAUUAUUGGGCGUAAAGAGCUCGUAGGCGGCCUGUUGCGUCCGCUGUGAAAUCCCGGGGCUUAACCCCGGGCUUGCAGUGGAUACGGGCAGGCUGGAGGCAGGCAGGGGAGAACGGAAUUCCCGGUGUAGCGGUGAAAUGCGCAGAUAUCAGGAGGAACACCGGUGGCGAAGGCGGUUCUCUGGGCAUGUUCUGACGCUGAGGAGCGAAAGUGUGGGGAGCGAACAGG
rnacentral:rRNA from 1 species